UUUAGCUAUAACAGCAAUAUUUUGCUUUUUAACCUGGUGGGAAGAAAAUCCCUCAGCCUUUAAAUACAUGAGCCUUGAACUCUGCACAAGGCAUUAUAUUUAUUACAGAGAUACCACACAUGAUGAUUGUGGGCUAAAGGUUGGUGUAUUUUCAUUGUUUGUAUUCUGUCUUUAAGGCAAAUGUCCAGUGACCCAUUGUAACUCCGUAUUCACAUGAGCAUGGCGUAGUUUGCAGUAAAAUUUUUCAUGCCCAGGCAAAAACAAGUUACCUGGGUUGAAGCAAACUUCUCCAAAGGCCAAUAUAAUACCUGCACUUUAAAACUCAGACGUUAAAAGAAAGAAGCUGAAAGAACAGGCACUUUCAAACAAGCAUUAGGUCAUGUGAACAGAAGUUGUUUGACGGGAUCUCCCUUGGGAUAUUCCAAGAACAUGUACAAUCCCAGGCAUGGAGCCAAGAGGAUCCAGGCAUAUCAGUGAGGUGCAAGACAGGGAGGAGUUAGCAGUCAUGUUCAAAAAUAUGCUUUUAAUGUUCAGCCAAGGAGCAAUAUUAACAGCACUUGCAUAUUUGCCAAGUGCCCAGAGAAAAGUGUAAGGAUGGAGUGAGAGAAAGGAAAUAAAUAAAGCUGGAGAGGGAAAAUUAUCUAUAAUAGAAUUUUGUUUCUCCCUCCAGUUCCAGACCAACUCAUCAAAGCCAAAAGAGAAAAAGAAAUGGAUGGAGCAGCAGGUGAGGCAAUCUGCCUCCUUUCAGCCAAGAUCAUGAGAACGCUACUAGAUGCUACCAAGACCAGCAGUAAACCUGAGGCAGAGGCCACAGCAUCAUCACUACCAGACACACCUCGCCUGGGUCACCAGUGUUGAACUAGGCUGUUUCCUCCCUGCACUUCAGCCAGUGUUUUUUUCUGACCCUUGUACAGCAAUACAUCUCAGCCAGAGCAAAAGAUAAUCUUCAUAAAAAUUGGAGCCUGGACAAAAGUGUGACUGAGCAGCAAUGAUUGUGUUCUUUGGAAUGACGUAAGGCACUCCACCUCUCACCUGUGCGCCCGUGGUGGCUUUCUUCUGCAACCUCCCAUUUACUGUUUGGAUUGGGAUCUGAAGCGCAGGAGAGGCCUCAGUACAUGAACACAACCAGUUUAAAAAAAAAAAAAAAGAAAGCACAAACCAAAACAAAAUGAAACAGGUUUGAUGCAUAAACUGAGGUGUGUCUGUGCAAUAAGCAGGCCCCAGAAUCUUCUAGUUCAGGUGACAACAGAAAAAGGAAAACAACUUGUUAAAACAUUUCCCGAAGCAGAAGUUUCUAA
rnacentral:lncRNA from 1 species